GCUACGGGAGGCUGCAGUGGGGAAUAUUGGGCAAUGGGCGCAAGCCUGACCCAGCAACGCCGCGUGAAGGAUGAAGGUUUUCGGAUUGUAAACUUCUGUCGCGAGGGACGAAGAUUGACGGGACCUCGUAAGAAAGCCCCGGCUAACUAGGUGCCAGCAGCCGCGGUAAUACGGAGGGGGCAAGCGUUGUCCGGAAUGACUGGGCGGAAAGGGAGUGUAGGGGGCUUAUCAAGUUAUCUGUGAAAUCCCGCGGCUUAACCGCGGAACUGCAUCUAAAACUGGUGAGCUGGAGUGCAGGAGAGGUGAGUCGCAUUCCUCGUGUAGCCGUGCAAUGCGUCGAUAUUAGGAGGCACACCAGCGGCGAAGGCGACUCACUGGACUGUACCUGACGCUGAGGCUCGAAAGCGUGGGGAGCAAACAGGAUUAGAUACCCCAGUAGUC
rnacentral:rRNA from 1 species